UUUAUAAGCCCGGACGCGGAGUGGGAAAGAGUCAUCCACUGGUCCAUCAAGAAGAGAGAGAGAGAGAGUGAGAGGAUGGUGGUGAAAGUGUAUGGUCCUGAUUACGGGUCACCAAAGCGAGUGCUGGUGUGCCUGAUCGAGAAGGGUGUCAAGUUCGAGACCGCCGGUAUCGAUCUCUUCAAGGGCGAGCACAGAGCCCCUGACUACCUCAAGCUCCAGCCCUUCGGAUCAGUUCCUGUGGUUCAAGAUGGCGACUACACACUUUUCGAAUCACGGGCCAUCAUAAGGUAUUAUGCCGAGAAGUACAAGCACCAAGGGACCGACCUGCUGGGGAAGACGAUAGAGGAGAGGGGGCUCGUCGAGCAGUGGCUCGAAGUUGAGGCCCAGAACUACCACCCCCCGAUCUAUGAUCUCGUCCUCAAAAUUGUUUUUGGCCCACUUAUGGGAGAUACCCCGGAUCCGAAGCUGAUCAAAGAGAGCGAGGACAAGCUCAGUAAGGUGCUGGAUGUCUAUGAGGAGAGGCUGUCGAAGAGCAAGUACCUGGCCGGGGAUUUUGUGAGCCUCGCCGACCUGAGCCACCUACCGUUCACCCAGUACUUGGUCGGCAAGGUGGGGAAGGAGUACCUGAUAAGGGACCGGAAGCAUGUGAGUUCGUGGUGGGAUGAUAUCUCGAGCAGGCCUUCUUGGAAGAAGGUCGUCGAGCUCUGGCCCGGUCUGUAUUAGGACCGUUUUAUUAGGUGUGCCGGGUGCACCCAAGUCCUAGGUCUAUGGGAAGGACUAGUUAAUUUCCGUAGACUAGCGUCGAUCUGAAUUGGCGAAUUCGGGCAAUCUAAUAAGCUUUGUUGCGUCUAGUUUGUGAAGAUCAUGUGUCAAGUUGGAUUUUUCCAGUAGACUAUCCUGUCGGGGACCCUUUUGCUGCUGUAUCCUUCAUGGCAGUGUCGUGUGUUGUCGGACUGUGUACGCGACUAAUUA